rnacentral:rRNA from 1 species
UACUAGAGUAGCACUCGCAUAUCAAUAAGCGGAGGAAAAGAAACUAACAAGGAUUCCCCUAGUAACGGCGAGUGAAGCGGGAAGAGCUCAAAUUUGAAAUCUUAAAGGGUUUCCCUUUACGAAUUGUAGUUUAAAGAAGUGUUUUCUGUUGAGGUUUUGGUAAAAGUUCUUUGGAAUAGGACAUCAUAGAGGGUGAGAAUCCCGUAUUUGACCUUUACUUUCAACUUUGUGAUACACUUUCAAAGAGUCGGAUUGUUUGGGAAUGCAGUCCAAAAUGGGUGGUAAAUUUCAUCUAAAGCUAAAUAUUGGCGAGAGACCGAUAGCGAACAAGUACCGUGAGGGAAGGAUGAAAAGAACUUUGAAAAGAGAGUUAAACAGUACGUGAAAUUGUCAAAAGGGAAGCGUUUGACACCAGUGUUGUUUUUCUGAAAAUCAAUUAAAGAACUGUUUAUGCUAAGCUGUUUAGACUUUAUCAGCUAUCUGUUUAGUUUUAGGCUUUUCUUUAAUGCACUUUUCAGUUAACAAGUCAACAUCAAUUUCUUUUGCUGUAAAAAAGCUUGAGGAAGGUGGCUUGAGAUUCGUCUUAAGUGUUUAUAGCCUCUUGCCUAUGCAGUCGGAGAGAUUGAGGUCUGCAGCGUAGAUCCUUCGGGGCUAAAUGCAUUUGUGCUAAGUUAUAGCAUUUUAUAGACAACUUGUUGACUAUGAUUUGUCUUGUAGCUUACUCGCUUAUGUUAUUUUACCUACGCUUAGGAUGUUGAGCGCAUGUCUCUCUCU